rnacentral:tRNA from 1 species
AUUAGCUCAAUUGGUAGAGCACCGGUCUCCAAAACCGGGGGUUGGGGGUUCGAGACCCUCAU